rnacentral:rRNA from 1 species
CUGGUUGAUCCUGCCAGCGGUCAUAUGCUCAUCUGAAAGAUUAAGCCAUGCAUGUUAAAAAACUUGCCCUAGAAUGGCGAAUUCGCGGACGGCUCAUUACAACAGAGAUAAUUUGCUUGAUUUAGAAUCCCAAGUGGAUAACUUUGGUAAUUCUGGAGCUAAUACAUGCCUCGAUGCCCCGACCUGUACGGAAAGGGUGCAGUUAUUAGAUCAAAACCAAACGGGCUUGCCCGUGUUUUGUUGACUCUGAAUAACCGUUCCGAUCGCAUGGUCUCGUACCGGCGACGUAUCAUUUCAAGACUCUGCCCUAUCAACUUCCGAUGGGAGGUCAUGUGCCUCCCAUGGUUGUGACGGGUAACGGAGAAUAAGGGUUCGACUCCGGAGAGGGAGCCUGAGAAACGGCUACCACAUCCAAGGAAGGCAGCAGGCGCGCAAAUUACCCACUCUCAGAACGAGGAGGUAGUGAAUAGAAAUAACAAAGCAGAUGUCUUUGAUGUCUGCUAUUGGAAUGGGUACAAUUUAAAACCCAUAACGAGGACCUAUGAGAGGGCAAGUCUGGU